rnacentral:rRNA from 1 species
GGCGAGUGAGCAGCAAUAGCUCAAAUUUGAAAUCUGGCGUCUUCGACGUCCGAGUUGUAAUUUGUAGAGGAUGCUUCUGAGUAACCACCGACCUAAGUUCCUUGGAACAGGACGUCAUAGAGGGUGAGAAUCCCGUAUGCGGUCGGAAAGGUGCUCUAUACGUAGCUCCUUCGACGAGUCGAGUUGUUUGGGAAUGCAGCUCUAAAUGGGAGGUAAAUUUCUUCUAAAGCUAAAUAUUGGCCAGAGACCGAUAGCGCACAAGUAGAGUGAUCGAAAGAUGAAAAGCACUUUGGAAAGAGAGUUAAAAAGCACGUGAAAUUGUUAAAAGGGAAGGGAUUGCAACCAGACUUGCUCGCGGUGUUCCGCCGGUCUUCUGACCGGUCUACUCGCCGCGUUGCAGGCCAGCAUCGUCUGGUGCCGCUGGAUAAGACUUGAGGAAUGUAGCUCCCUCGGGAGUGUUAUAGCCUCUUGUGAUGCAGCGAGCGCCGGGCGAGGUCCGCGCUUCGGCUAGGAUGCUGGCGUAAUGGUCGUAAUCCGCCCGUCUUGAAACACG